rnacentral:rRNA from 1 species
CACGGCGCACGGGUGAGUAACACGUGGGUAACCUGCCCUUCGGUGGGGAAUAACCCCGCGAAAGCGGGGCUAAUUCCGCAUUACAUUCCGGGAGCUUCGGAAUCCGGACUCAAAGGCCGCAAGGCCGCCGGAGGAGGGGCCCGCGCCCGAUUAGCUAGUUGGCGAGGUAAUGGCUCACCAAGGCUUUGAUCGGUAGCCGGUCUGAGAGGAUGGCCGGCCACACUGGAACUGAGACACGGUCCAGACUCCUACGGGAGGCAGCAGUGGGGAAUCUUGCGCAAUGGGCGAAAGCCUGACGCAGCGACGCCGCGUGGGGGAUGAAGCUUCUCGGAGUGUAAACCCCUUUCGACCCGGAAGAAUGUCCCGCAAGGGAUUGACGGUACGGGUAUAAGAAGCCCCGGCUAACUACGUGCCAGCAGCCGCGGUAAGACGUGGGGGGCCAGCGUUGCUCGGAAUUACUGGGCGUAAAGGGUCCGUAGGCGGUGCGGCAAGUCGGGAGUGAAAUCUCUGGGCUCAACUCAGAGGCUGCUUCCGAAACUGCCGUGCUGGAGUGUGGGAGAGGCGAGUGGAAUUGCAGGUGUAGCGGUGAAAUGCGUAGAUAUCUGCAGGAACACCCGUGGCGAAGGCGGCUCGCUGGACCACAAC